AGGCGGAGACACAAGGCUCCGUUCCACUGGGCACGCCAGCGGGUAGGGGUGGGGGCGGGGAGGUGCGCGCGCAGCGUGGGAGGAGGCCAACUCUCGGGGCGCUCCCUAGCCCUGGGUGGGUGGAGCGGGGGAAGCGGAGUACGUUGGACCCGGCUCCGCCCUACCCCACGGGGCCGCCUGGAGAGGUGCUGGGAGCUGGGUGGAGCUUAGAGGAAUUAAACUUUGGCCCUGCGCCUCGUCCAGCCUAGGUUCCACCCUUUUCUGGGAACGUGAGUAUCAACCAAGGCUGGAGUGCAGUGGCACCAUCUCGGCUCACUGCAACCUCUGGCUCCCAGGUUCAAGCGAUUCUCCUGCCUCAGCCCCCUGAGUAGCUGGGAUUACAGGCACGCGCCACCACUCCCAGUUUACACCCCGCCACUCCUGAGCACCGCACACCGGCUUCCUCCCAGUCCCUCAUCUGAGAACUCAUGAAGCCACUUGGAAUCCCUCUCUGCUUUGCCUGGCUCAUUCCAUGUCAAUUUCAGAUCUUCACUUCAGGUCAGCUCCAAGGAGGCUAUCCUUGCCCAUCUUCCUAAAAUAGAGCUCUCAAAACCUGGCUGUUUUCCUUCAGAGCACUGGCCUCCAAUUGCUCCGGUAGAUUGCAAAUGACCUGCUUUCUUUCUGUUCCCGGGCGUUUGGACCCCUGUCUUGGACCGCUGUCGGAUAGUAAAUCCCAAGUAAGGUACCUGCCGUCGGCAGAUUUGAGCUUUCUUCUUGGACACCUAAUACCCAGAGUCCUCCAGGCUCCGGUAGAUUGCAAAUGACCUGCUUUCUUUCUGUUCCCGGGCGGCAUCGGACCCGUCGGAGAGUAAAUCCCAAGUAAGGUACCUGCCGUUGGCAGAUUUGAGCUUUCUUCUUGGACACCUAAUACCCACAGUCCUCCAGGCUCCGGUAGAUUGCAAAUGACCUGCUUUCUUUCUGUUCCCGGGUGGCAUCGACCCGUCGGAGAGUAAAUCCCAAGUAAGGUACCUGCCGUUGGCAGAUUUGAGCUUUCUUCUUGGACACCUAAUACCCACAGUCCUCCAGUAAAUCCCAAGCAAGGUACCUGCCGUCAGCAGAUUUGAGCUUUCUUCUUGGACACCUAAUACCCACAGUCCUCCAGGCUCCGGUAGAUUGCAAAUGACCUGCUUUCUUUCUGUUCCCGGGCUGCGUUCGGACCCCUGUCGGAUAGUAACUCCCAAAAAAACAAACAAAGACAUGGAUUUACUGUGCAUAUUAGCAGAUCCAUACUGGAAAAUGCAUGGAGGUUUCAUAUACACCACUUACAGGUUUCCAAAGCCACAAUUUCCUUCAUAUGUUCAAACUCUUCAGGAUGCAGAAAGGCAGUGAACUCCUCCGGAGUAGCUGUCAGGUCACCAUUGAGGUCUGCAGCUUUGAAUCUUCUCUCAUCACGUGGCAGCAUCUUUUUAAAGGUGUGAUGAUCUGAAGAAUCAUGAAACUCUGCGGGGUUUCCUAGGUUUUCAGCUCCUCAGUAGUGACAAAGCCAUACCCAUCAUUGUCGAUUCGAUCAACAAUCUUCCCUAGCCUCUCCUUGCUCUCGUCCGGGGUGAGCUCGUCGAAGUUCUUGGAGUCCUCCUUGCCCAGGAAGGCCUCGUGGUCGUACUGGAAGCUCUGGUUGUCCUCAGGGGGCCGCUCGCCCAGCUCCGAGUCGGGCCGCACCACGCGCUCUUUGCGCACCGUGGGCUUGGCCCGCAGAACCCGCGGCGCCAGCACCAGCGCCAGCAGCAGCCCCAGGGCUAACCCCAGGCGGCCACCGCGCGCCAUCGUCCCGAGGAGAGGGCGGCCGGGAGGGAGACGCUGAGCGAGCGACAACAGCGGCAGCUCGGGAAUGGGGGCUCGGAGCGCGGCGGCCAAGUUUUAUGUUAUGUAUAUUUUACAAGUAAAAAAAUUUUUUCACCUCAGCCUGA
rnacentral:lncRNA from 1 species